CUACUACUCCCUCCGUCCGGAAUUACUUGUCAUAAAAAUGGAUGAAAAUGAAUGUAUCUAGAACUAAAAUACAUCUAGAUACAUCCAUUUCAAUGACAAGUAUUUCCGGACGGAGGGAGUAGUAU
rnacentral:pre_miRNA from 1 species